rnacentral:snoRNA from 1 species
UUCCACUGCUCAAGUCAAGGCUUCUUUCUGCUUCUCGCAUUUCUCCAUGAAAGUAGCCUGUUACAGCGUUGGUAAAUUGACCAGGCUCGGCGCCUUCACGGUGCUCUUCGAUGGCUACCAUUCUGGUAGCUCAUCACCUUGAGCCACGGCGUGUCCCAUUUGAGUUGAGGUCUCGCAGUGACCUGCGGUCAAUCUCAUAGCAGACCUCUUAGUAAUGUUUCACACAUCA